AAAAACAUAGUAUAAAUAAUACAUUUCAUUUACACUGAAAAUAUGUCUACAAGACUGUUUUUU
rnacentral:tRNA from 1 species